rnacentral:rRNA from 1 species
UGUAUUUAUUAGAUUAAAAACCAAUGCCCUUCGGGGCUCCUUGGUGAUUCAUAAUAACUUAACGAAUCGCAUGGCCUUGUGCCGGCGAUGGUUCAUUCAAAUUUCUGCCCUAUCAACUUUCGAUGGUAGUAUAUGGGACUACCAUGGUUUCAACGGGUAACGGGGAAUUAGGGUUCUAUUCCGGAGAGGGAGCCUGAGAAACGGCUACCACAUCCAAGGAAGGCAGCAGGCGCGCAAAUUACCCAAUCCCGACACGGGGAGGUAGUGACAAUAAAUACUGAUACAGGGCUCUUUUGGGUCUUGUAAUUGGAAUGAGUACAAUUUAAAUCCCUUAACGAGGAACAAUUGGAGGGCAAGUCUGGUGCCAGCAGCCGCGGUAAUACCAGCUCCAAUAGCGUAUAUUAAAGUUGUUGCAGUUAAAAAGCUCGUAGUUGAACCUUGGGCCUGGCUGGCCGGUCCGCCUCACCGCGUGCACUGGUCCGGCUGGGUCUUUCCUCCUGGGGAGCCGCAUGCCNCUUCACUGGGUGUGUCGGGGAACCAGG